UUGGUACCCUAUUGAAAUGUUCCGACCCCUAAGGAUGGAUCUGCGGCUAAUUAGGUAUUUGGCGUGGUAAAUGCCUACCAACCCACUACUCUGUCCGGUUUGUGAAACCAAAACCCCGGAAAUGGAACCUGAAACUAGGUUCCAGGCCCUACGGGGCGCACCAGGCCCAAAACCUCCCCAUGGCGGAAAAGUGCGACGGGGGAAACUGAGGUGCCACUCUAAGUGUUGUGGCUUUUCUUGUAUGUAAAAAGCUUUUGGAAUAAGAGCUGGGCAAGACCGGUGCCAGCCGCCGCGGUAACACCGGCAGCUCAAGUGGUGGCCAUUUUUAUUGGGCCUAAGGGUUCGUAGCCGGCUUGAUAAGUCUUCUGGUGAAUCCCACAGCUUAACUGUUGGGAAUUGCUGGAAAUACUGUUAGGCUUGAGGCCGGGAAAGGCUGGAGGUACUCCCAGGGUAGGGGUGAAUUCCUAUAAUCUUGUGAGGACCACCUGUGGCGAAGGCGUCUACCUGGACCGGAUCUGACGGUAAGUACCGAAAGCCAGGGGCGCGAACCGGAUUAGAUACCCGGGUAGUCCUGGCCGUAAACAA
rnacentral:rRNA from 1 species